CACCUCCCCCUCCUCCCUAUCUACACCUAAAUAUUCUCUCUCAUCUUUCUCCUUGAUUUAGGCUUUAGCUAUUAUUAACCCAGAAGGCUCUGACAUUUCUCUCGAUCUCAAUAUCCUUGAUUUGUUUAUCUCUAUCAUGGCUAGUCAAGAAGAGGGUAUCAAGCUCUUCGGAGCAACAAUUACGCUGCAUGACGGGCAAGUAAUCAGUAAAGAAGAUCAAAACAAAGAAAAUCCAACCAUUGACAAGAGGCCAGAGAAGAUCAUACAAUGCCCUAGAUGCAAGAGCAUGGAGACCAAGUUUUGUUACUUCAACAACUACAAUGUUAACCAGCCAAGACAUUUCUGUAAGGGCUGCCAGAGGUACUGGACUGCAGGUGGGGCCCUUCGAAAUGUUCCCGUUGGAGCCGGCCGCCGGAAAACUAAGCCGCCUGGCCGGGGUGGUCCUGGUGGGUAUUCAGAGGAGUGCUUGUUUGAUGGCUCUGGUGGGGUGAUUCACCAGUUUGAGCUAGAUGGAGUUGUUUUGGAGGAGUUGCACUUGGCAACCACCCAUGGCGGUUUCCGUCAGGUCUUCCCCGUGAAGCGGCGGAGGAGCGGUGGCUCAGGUGGUCAAAACUGUUGGUGAUCUUGAACUCCUGUCUCACAAUUAUUACCACGCGUGUAUUAUGUAUACAAAACCGGUUUUGAUCAAGAACCUAACUUUCUAAUGGUAGUUCUAUCUCAACAUGAAGAUCAAUGAUCGCUCAGACUUGGCUAUGGAGAGAUGCAUAUUAACUUGCUGAUCACCUUGGGGAUUCCUGAGAAAUAUGAGCAGAUGAUCAGGAUCCAUUUCACCAGAAGGCUAUGAUUCAAUUUUAAUCAAGUUUAUUUUCACGAGGAAUCAAAAAGAUGAACGGCCAGCCAAUCACUACGCGAUAAUGGAAGGAAGAAGGAUGGACGGUGGUACGACCAUACAUGAAACUUCAUGGAAAAGGAUGAAGCAUGCAUCAAUCUGAAGAUAUUGACUAUUAUACAUAUCAAGAGAAAACUAAUAACCGUAUUAGUCAUCAAAAUGUAAGUUGCUAGGUUUUAACGAUGACAUGAUUGGUGGUGACUUCACGCAUGGAAUGAUUGAAAAAACAAACAUUUAAAAGUUUUUUAAAACAGAUUGAAUUCUUUUUAUUUUUUAUUUUUUUCAAAUAAUGUUUUUAUAUUUUUCGAUUAUUUUAAUUUGAAACCAUCUUGAUCAUGAUUAAUUUUAAGUGAACAAUUUUUUUUUUUUUAAAAUGGGAACAUGAACAAUUGUUUAUAAACUCUAUGCUACCUAAGUGAUUUUACCGAGGAAAGCUGAUGAGUGUGAUCACAUUAAGAACAUACGAUUCGGCACCUUCUCUUACUACUACUUCUCUAAUGUAAAUGAAUCUUUUUUAAUACUUUAAUCUUUGAAGGUAAUUUAACUGCAUUCAUCAAACUAA